rnacentral:rRNA from 1 species
CCUACGGUAGGCAGCAGUGAGGAAUAUUGGUCAAUGGCUGUAAGGCUGAACCAGCCAAGUCGCGUGAAGGAAGACAGAUCUAUGGUUUGUAAACUUCUUUUAUAGGGGAAUAAAGGUAUCCACGUGUGGAUGUUUGCAUGUACCCUAUGAAUAAGCAUCGGCUAACUCCGUGCCAGCAGCCGCGGUAAUACGGAGGAUGCGAGCGUUAUCCGGAUUUAUUGGGUUUAAAGGGUGCGUAGGUGGUCUUUUAAGUCAGCGGUGAAAGUUUGUGGCUCAACCAUAAAAUUGCCGUUGAAACUGGAAGACUUGAGUGUGUUUGAGGUAGGCGGAAUGCGUGGUGUAGCGGUGAAAUGCAUAGAUAUCACGCAGAACUCCGAUUGCGAAGGCAGCUUACUAAGCCAUAACUGACACUGAAGCACGAAAGCGUGGGUAUCAAACAGGAUUAGAUACCCGGGUAGUC